AUUGAACGCUGGCGGCAUGAUUUACACAUGCAAGUCGAACGGUAACAGGCCGCAAGGUGCUGACGAGUGGCGAACGGGUGAGUAAUGCAUCGGAGCGUGCCCAGUCGUGGGGGAUAACUACUCGAAAGAGUAGCUAAUACCGCAUACGAUCUAUGGAUGACAGCGGGGGACCGUAAGGCCUCGCGCGAUUGGAGCGGCCGAUGUCAGAUUAGGUAGUUGGUGGGGUAAAGGCUCACCAAGCCAACGAUCUGUAGCUGGUCUGAGAGGACGACCAGCCACACUGGGACUGAGACACGGCCCAGACUCCUACGGGAGGCAGCAGUGGGGAAUUUUGGACAAUGGGCGCAAGCCUGAUCCAGCAAUGCCGCGUGCAGGAAGAAGGCCUUCGGGUUGUAAACUGCUUUUGUACGGAACGAAACGGCUCUGGUUAAUACCCGGGGCUAAUGACGGUACCGUAAGAAUAAGCACCGGCUAACUACGUG
rnacentral:rRNA from 1 species